CUCGAUCUAACGCUUUCUAACAACAUAUGAAUUGCUUCAUAUGUCAUUUCGAGAAAGUAUAAUAUCAAAGUGAUUUUAUAAAAUUGAACACAUCAAAGCGAGGUACACGCGCAAGGCGCGUACCCCAAAUUAGUAAUACAAAAAGUAUUGAUAAUAAUAAAAUAUCAAAGAAUUUAAAAGUAAAAUAAACCACAGUUUAUUUUCUUACCAAAAAGAUGUGUUUUUUUUUGGUAAUCAGUAUUUAUAUUAGCUUAGCUAGCAAAUAGUGUUCAUUGUUGGAGUUGGAGUUGGAGUUGGAGCUCCAUCCAAAACAAGGGUGGGUGGGAUUAGCAGUUCUGCCAUAUUUGUUCAUUUUCCUAGCAAAAGUAGUUCCUUUUCUGUCUGCAUUUGCUGCUUGUUCAACAUACAAUGGUGGAACUUGCAAAAUAUUUGUCACUCUAUAGGACAUCCAGCUGCAUCCUUCCUUAGCCAUGUUGUCUGCUACUCUGUUCUCCUCCCUUAAUGUAACGCCCCGAAAAUCUAUCCCGAGACGUCACAUGGUGCUUAGGACCAUAAGUGAUCCCAAGCUAAUUCAUUAACUGGAAUUCUAACAAGCAACUGAUCAAAUAUGAAAUAAAUAACUGAGUUCACUGUGCGAAAACAUAAUAAUGAUGAAAUCUAUGGAAAAUACAAAACUGAUACCAUUUUACAUUCUGACAUAGUCUAAAAAGAGGGACUGAAAUUAUAUGAUUUACUCCAACUGACAUCUGUGAAGCCUCUACUAUACUGACUAUAAAUAGUUAGGACGCGACCCCAACUAUCACUAAUCAAUUCAUAUGAUUAAGAAAGUAAAGAACAUAAAUAAAUCUAACUGAAGUCCCCGAAAUAUGAGGACUCAUCAUCUCGCUGGCUAGAAUCUGAAACUGUCUGAGUCUGAAUGUGCAUACUAAAAUGUGUACCUAUAUUAUGAGACAAUAUAGCACAUAUACAUAUAUGUGGAUCAGUACUUUGAGCAUGUACUGAGUAUAUGAGGGUGAAAUGCAUAAGUAAAAUAGUAACAUCACAAUUUAUAUAAAAAAUCGUGCAUGCUAAAUGUAUAUGACUCACAUAAGCUGGAUUAUCAGAAAUAAUAAAAUCUGAAAUAAUAAGAAACAAAUCACUUUAUAAUUCUAGUGAGUCAUAACAUUUAGUUCUAAAAGUUGUACUUAUAUCCUCUCUUUAAAUCAUACUGUCUAAGGGUAGAAAAGACUCACUCUAAAAUCUAAAAUCUGAAAGCUGAAAUCCUAUAACUAAAAUCUUUCUCUAAAGCAUAAUCUGAAAUAAAGUUUUGAGCCUUUACACUUAGUUUUCUAAAAACUUUUCUAGUAUUCUUUUCUAAAAGCUAUAUUUUAAAUUCAAGAACUUUAAAGUUGUAGAGAAAAUACUUUAUCUUAAGGCUUUAAAUCAAUAAGCUGUUUUAAGAGUAGGAGACAUCUUUUGGGAGGUUUUUCUAACCGACAUGUACACCAUGUGGGCAUCCAUGGUGUCCCACGACUAGUCCCCGUAAGGUCAAGGUUGUUCUACCUUUGACAUCGAAAUAAACAAUCUCAUCUCAGUGAUCACAAUCUCCGUCAUCCACGUAGAAGUGGAAAUAAUCUAACUCUGUACCUACAGUGACACGUAGUUCUGUGGAAGAUAGGGCACGGUAAUCCCACACUUUCGGCUCGGUGCUAAAUACUACUCCCAAUCUUAUGCUCAAAAUCUCAAGAAAAUUCACUUUAAAGUUAUCUAAUGAUUUAUAAUAAAACCAGUUGUAAAUCUGUAGAGCUAAAUUUGUAUGUUUGAAUCUGAAAUGUGGAUUUCAUAUCUAUUCUGAGAUCAAAAGGUCAAAUUUUUAUCUAAAAUCUCAAAAUAAUCUAGUCAUAGGGUGCUUAUAGCACAACAAUUCUUUGAAUAACAAUCUUUAAAUAGGGUUUAAUGACCCAUGUAUUAAUUUCAUGAUAAAGCAUCUCAAAAUUCACGCUUGAUAACAUAAACAUUCAUAAAUCAUCUUAAAAUCUGGAAAUUUCAGCAAUGUGCAUAAAAACAUAAACAUACUCAUGUAAUUCAAUUUCUAAAUCAUUGAAAAUCUCAUAAUCUCAUGAAUAACAAUAUGGGGUGUAAACCCAAACUUCAAAUUCAUAGGAAAAUAUAUAAAAUCAAAUAACUUUCGCAAUAAAAUUAAGUUUUGGGCACAAGGAUGAAAGGAUUGUCCUUGUUCAUAACCCCACAUACCUUAAUAGUUUGGAUUUGAUGAAUUGAAUGUAAAAGCUUGAACUUUGAAUCCUUUGGAGAUGAUCUUGAUAUCAUUCUUGAAGUUCUUGAAUUAGAAACCCUAAAUUCUUGAUCUUUUUUGUUGAAGAGAAGAAGAUGGAAUUGAUGAUUCUUGAGGGAAUUAAUUAGCAUUGUUCUUGAGGGAAAAAUUGAAGAAUGGGAGCAAAUAUAGCCCCAACUGAAGCCUUAGAUCGUG
rnacentral:lncRNA from 1 species